rnacentral:lncRNA from 1 species
AAAAGAAAGAGGUAAGCGUGGCCUGACCUAGCCACCCACCAACAGGAAUAAUGGCUGAAAAAGCGGGGUCUACAUUUUCACACCUUCUGGUUCCUAUUCUUCUCCUGAUUGGCUGGAUUGUGGGCUGCAUCAUAAUGAUUUAUGUUGUCUUCUCUUAGAAAGGCAAGAAGAUAUCAGAUUGACAUCAUUUAGAAGAAUUAAGAAAACUAUGAACAUGACUGAUUAUUAAAUGUCUCAUGUUAAACAAUGCAAUGUUUGACAUCACUUUACAAACUUGGAUCAUAAACUGGCACUUUGAACCCAGACAUACAUCCAUGGCAGGGCCAGACGAACUCAAGUGGCACUUGCCACACUGAACUCAGAAUCACUACAUGAAGCUUAUCGUGCCUGGCUCCUUUUUUGACAAAGUUAAGCUCUCCCAGGAGGCUCCUCAGGUUUUUGCAAGAAGGCUUGGGUUUAUUUGCUCCAUCAGGUUGGCAAAAAUGUUUGGAUCACACUUCCACUCAAGCAACAUGUCUGGAUUCUCAGAGUCUCCUGAUGCAAACAGGUAUAUCCAGAUGUACGAGAUGAGACUUAUGGAGGCUCACUUGCCCAGAGUUUCUCAGCUGGUCACUUGCUCAGCAGAAGUUGAAUUCUUGAUCCAGGUCUCUGAAGCAUGUGCGAGCUAAAGUUUGAGUUAUGAAUUCAAAUGUUGUCAGGGCUCAGGUGAGGAAAAGAGUAAAACUGGCUAGGUGGAGACUGAAGAUUUGGAAGCAAUUUUUGGCAUGGAAGAACUUGAGACCAGCAUUACCAGAUCUUCCCAUUUUUCAAGAGAAACUGAAAAUAUCUUCUCUUUAAUGUGAAAUCUCUGUAUUUAAAAUGCUAUAUAUUAAUUUUUUUAAAUAAACAGGAUUUGGGUUAGGCACA